GAUGAAGAACGCAGCGAAAUGCGAUACGUAAUGUGAAUUGCAGAAUUCAGUGAAUCAUCGAGUCUUUGAACGCACAUUGCGCCCCCUGGUAUUCCGGGGGGCAUGCCUGUCCGAGCGUCAUUGCUGCCCUCAAGCACGGCUUGUGUGUUGGGCCCCGUCCUCCGAUCCCGGGGGACGGGCCCGAAAGGCAGCGGCGGCACCGCGUCCGGUCCUCGAGCGUAUGGGGCUUUGUCACCCGCUCUGUAGGCCCGGCCGGCGCUUGCCGAUCAACCCAAAUUUUUUAUCCAGGUUGACCUCGGAUCAGGUAGGGAUACCCGCUGAACUUAAGCAUAUCAAUAAGCGGAGGA
rnacentral:misc_RNA from 1 species